rnacentral:lncRNA from 1 species
ACUCCAUUGGUCCCCUGAGGCAGAGGCAGCGUUUUGGGAACUCAAGCACUGCUUCACUUCUGCUCCAAUCCUUACCCAGCCAGACCCAGAACUCCAGUUUGUCCUCGAGGUGGACGCUUCCGACACCGGUGCAGUCCUGUCUCAACGUUCUCCCUCGGAUUCACCCUCCAUCCUUGUGCCUUCUUGUCCCGCAAGCUCUCGCCUGCAGAGAGAAAUUUUGACAUAGGUAACCGUGAACUCCUGGCUGUUAAGCUGGCUCUUGAGGAGUGGCGUCGCUGGUUACAGGAUUCGGUCCUUCCAUUCAUUGUGUGGACAGAUCACAAAAAUGUAGCCUACAUCCAGACCGCCAAACGUCUGAACUCUCGGCAGGCCAGGUGGGCAUUGUUUUUUGGAAGAUUCAAAUUCACACUCCCUUAUCGCCCCGGAUCUAAGAAUACCAAGCCUGACGCCCUCUCCCGUCUGUUCACCACAGACAACACAAGUUCCGAGCUAGAAACCAUUAUGCCAUCCUCCUGCAUCGUUGCUGCUGUUUCCUGGGAAAUUGAGUCCCGUGUUCGUCAGGCUCAGCUGAACCAGCCUGAUCCUAGAAACGGUCCUAGUAAGGCUCUGUUUGUGCCAGAUUCAGUUCGUUCUGAUGUUCUUCAAUGGGGCCAUUCUACUCACCUCACCUGUCACCCUGGUGUGAACCGGACUGCCGCCUUCCUGCGUCAGCGAUUUUGUGGCCCACCAUGUAGAAAUACACUCGGGAAUUCAUCUCAGCCUGCUCGGUCUGUGCUCGGAACAAAACCUCCACCAAACCUACAUCUGGUCUGCUUCGUCCUCUUCCCAUGCCCAGUCGCCCUGGUCACACCUGGAGGAGGGACCAGGCUGCCCUUCUUCAUGCCUCCGUUGGUUGCUUCAGCCCCAGUCUACACUCCAGUUCAAAAGGUAUGGCUUUCAUCUAAGGACUUGCCCCUGAAAGUGGUUUCCACUUAUCCUCUCAUUGCAGUUACUGCUCUGUCUCUGGCUCCUGUCUCCUGUUCCACAUCUCACCACCCAACUACCUUGCACUGGAUUUUACUCACCACCACUACCUUGGAUUUCCCUCGGGACCUGUUUACCCUGUUCUACUCAGCUAACUCCAACCUCAGUCUCCACAUCUGUUUUUUCUGCAACUCAUCCGAGCAUCCCCGGAUCUGCACUCCAUAUCUCUCUGUGUAACAAUAAAUAUUAUGGUUCAUUCAUCCCUGUUUCCUCAUCUGAGUCUGCUCUUGGGUUCCCCUGUCUCACUCCGCAUAACACCGCUCGGGAAGGAGACGCUUUCUGUCUCCUAGAGAGGAACAUACUUUGGUGCAAAAAAUGCAUAUCAAUCCCAAAACAACAGCAAAGGACCUUGUGAAGAUGCUGGAGUACACAGGUACAAAUGUAUCU